GGGAGGGGGUUGAGAGGAUGGCCUGAGGAAAGGCUACGAAGAAGAAAAAGGCGCCCCUUCUGGGCAGAAGAAUUAGAAGAAAAUGGUGCCCUCCUUGGGCGGGGUAGAGUCCGAGUGAAGGGAGGAGGCAGAGAGGCACCUGUGUGGCCAGAGUGAGGGCGCCGCGCCCAGCCCUAGACUGGGAGCACCCAUGGUGUGAGGGGAAGAAAGCGGCGCGACCACCCUCGAGCCCAAGGGAGUGAAUUCGAGUGUGGUGCCCUUUAUUCAAAUAAAAUCCUUUCCGAGCCCUUGCCGUCGCCAAGCAGCGUGCUCAUUGCUAGGGACGGAGCGGGCAAGGAGCAGACACGGGGCCCUCCCUCAUGGAGUUGACACAGCUCUUCUGUUCUUCAGGAAAUUACUCCGGAACUGAAUCAUAGCAGGAGUUUCACCAGUGGAUUUUGUACCUUUGGGCUGUGGCAGCAGACCAAUUACACCACAGCACUUGUUCUGGAAGUGAGAAGUCCAAGAUCAAGGUUCAGCAGAGUUGGUUUCUUCUAACGGGCCUGAGGAAAGCAUCCGUUCCAGGUCUCUCUCUUUGACUUGUAGAUAGCUGUCUUCUUCCUGUGUUUUCACAUCGUCUUCUCUUUGUACACUUCUGUGUCCAAAUUUCCUCUUCUUAUAAGGGCACCAGUCGUAUUGGAUUAGGGCCCACCCUAAUGACCUCAUUUUAACUGAAUUACCUCUUUAAAGACCCUACCUCCAAAUACAGUCACAUUCUAAGGUCCCAGGGUUUAGGAUUUCGACAUAUGAAUUUUGG